AGUCACCAGCUGCUUUAGCCCCUAACAAGAGGGCUGCGUGUCCUCUGAACCUUUGAAGCCAGCUAUUGACUUCUCUCUAGCUAUGGAAGUCCUGGAUGGCAUCUUCUUCCAAUAUAAAGCUGUUUCAUCUACAUUGAAAAUAGGUUGUUUAGUAGCUCCCAUCGUGGCUCAGCAGAUAACAAACCCAACUAGUAUCCAUGAGGAUGCAGGUUCGAUCCCUGGCCUUGCUCAGUGAGUUAAGGAUCUGGCAUUGCCGUGAGCCGUGGUAUAGGUCACAGAUGCGGCUCAGAUCUGGCGUUGCUGUGGUGUAGGCCGGCAGCUACAGCUUGGAUUCCACCCUUAGCCGGGGAAUGUCCAUAUGCCGCAGGUGUGGCCCUACAAAGAAAACAGAAAGAAAAUAGGUCGUUUAGUGUGGACAUCUUCAUUACUCGUCUCGGCUAGAUCUUCUGAGUAACUGCUGCAGUUUUUACAUCAGUACUUGCUGCUCCAUCUAGUACUUUCAUGUUAGGGAGGUGAUUUUUGGUCUUAAACUUCAGGAACCAGCCUCUGCCAGCUUCAGACCUUUUUCCUGCAGCUUCCUCAUCUCUCAGCCUUCAUAGAAUUGAAGAGGGCUGGGGCCUUGCUGUGAAUUAGGCGUUGGCCUAAGGGAGCGUUGUGGCUGGCGUGGUCGUUUAUCCAGACCACUGAGACUUCCUCUGUAUCAGCAGCAAGACUGUCGAGCCUUCUUUGCAUUUGCGUGCUCACUAGGGCAGUGCUUUUAACUUUCUCCAAGAACAUUUACUUUGCGCUCACAACCUGGCUUUUGGCACCGAGGCUUGGCUUUUGGCCUGUCUCAACCUUUGACAUACCUUCCUCCCUGGGCUUAAUCACGUCUAGCCUUGAAGUUAAAGUGUGAGACAUGCAGCUCUUCCCUCCACUUGGAGAUUUUGAGGCUAGUGCAGUGUUGGUAAUUGGCCUGGCUUCAAAACUGCUGUGCCUCAGAGACUACGGAGGAGGCUCAAAGCGAGGGAAAGGGGCGAGGGAAUGGCCGGUCACUGGCGCAGUCAGAACCGAUGGGCGUUGGCAGGGGAAGUUUCUCAUCUUACGUGGGAGUGACUUGUGACGCCCCAGAAGAGUUACAGUUAGUAACGUCAGGGAUAACUGAUCACAGAUACAGAUACAAUGAUGAUAAAGUUGAUUGAAACACUGUGCAUAUUGCCAAAAUAUGACACAAAGACACAAGGUGAGUAGACGCUUUUGGAGAAUGGCGCCAAUAGAAUUGCUUGAUGCAGGGUUGCCACGGAGAUUCAAUUUGUGAAAAAUACAGUAUCUGUGAAGCUCGAUAAAGUGAAAAGCAAUAAAAUAAGGAAUGCCGGUAGUUUUGACUAAUGCCAUUUGUCCUGUACAGCCUAAAAUAUUCACUGUAUGGCCUUUUACAGAAAAAGUUUAUAGCCCCCUGCUCUAUAUACUUAGCUUGAUUUAUUAUUCUUUAUAGCCCUUACCUCUCUGCCCUCCCUGUCCCUUUGACAUAUAAUUAUUUGUUUAUUAUUUGGCUCUGGUCACUAUCAUGUGAGCAUCAAAACAGACUUUGUUUUCACUAAAAUACCAGGAACGUAAAAGAUCUCAGUUUAUGUUGAGUAAUGAGUAAGUGAGAAUUCAGUUUUCCAACAUCCCCUUGUUAGCACCUAAUAUUCGGAUGAUUAUAAAUUUUGUCAAUACAAUGGGUGAAAGAGUAUCACAUUUCUGUUCUUAUUUGCAUGUCUCUGGUGAGAAUAUGCAUCUUGUUCUGUGUUCCCUGUUUAUCGUUGGUAUUUAUCUUAUCCUGUAUGAAUUGCUUGCUAAUCCUUCAUUUAUUUUUCUAUUUGCUGCCUUCAGUAAUGCUUUGACUCAUGGGUUGAAGCUACCUUCCUCCAGAGAGGAUUUGUGUUUUGCUUUUGCCAGUCGCCUGGGGCCACAGCUACCUGCCGGAUACCUUGCAAAGUUGUUAGCUUGAGGUUGGUUGGGACUUCCUGGGUGGUGUCCUGGGAAUUUGGGCCACAGACCUGCCUGAGGCCCCCUGGUGGUUAGAAAUUCUCAGGGAAGACUUUCCGUUCUUACCCAAUCAGUCAGACCAGUGUAUUUGCCUCAUUCUUCUAUGUAGGGGUUUAUUUUUCAUUCACCUUCGCACAGUGGGCGAAGGACUUUGUGAUUCCAACUUUACUCAGAAGUCUCUUGAGCUUCCCCCCCUUGUAUUGACCAUAGAAUUUAUUGCUUGUCUCUGAGGCCGCAGGCACCUGUCCCGUCAGAAGCUCCAGGCCACCAGGGUUCAGAGAGAUGGUAAAAUCUCCCCACCCUCCUAGAGUAUGGCUUUCAUGUUUUUCCCCUGCUGGUUUCUUACUCUCUGGCCUGAUCAGAAACACAUUUCAAGAUACCUUUUAAAAAAUAUUUCAUCUAACAUUUUUAAUUGUCUUUACGUAGUUUAAGAUAUCUGAUCUGUCAUAAUACGGUAAAAUACAACCUGUCUCUUUUUUACACACCAGUAUUACCGUUUUAUUGCUGUAGUUUUACAGUCUCUCUGGUAGAUUGUGUCCUUUCACCUUACUAUUGUGUGGCUUAUUUUCUUUUAUGGCUGUCUUGACAUUCUUCACAUACCUUGUUAAUUAACCCUGUCCUGUGUUACAAGUUCUGCCUCCCAAAUCUGUUACUUUUUUGGACACACAAAAAUUUAAAUUUUGAUAUUAUUAAAUUCAUUAAGUUUUCCUCUUAUGUGUUUUGAGGGGUUUUUGGUGUGUGUUUAAGAAGAAGGAAUUCUCACCCAGGGAUGUAAGAUAGUUUCCUGUGCCUUCUAUUCCUAUUUAUAUAGGUUAUUUUGAACGUAUUGAUCUUCAGUUUUUAAUACUUCUUGUGACUGAUAUGAGGGAGGCUGUAACCAUUUAUCUCCCCCAAGGAUAGCAGAUUUGAUUAACUGUCCUCUCUGAGUGUAUCCGUCAGGGUCCUGGCAGAAAACAGAUAGUGCAAGUAAACAGGGAUUGUUUAUGAAAAGUUGCACCUAGUGCCUUGCACAAGUGUGGGGCAGUGUAGGGAAACCGAAAGGAACCCUGCCCUCCCCUGGGGCGAGUACCCACUGCUUGGCGGCCGUAGGCCUGCAGGGGUAAGGUCGGUGGAAGAGGAAGGUAUGUGUUGAGAGGGCUGGGUGAAGAGGGCCACUGGACAGGAGCUGUGACAUUUUCUGUGUGUGCGGUGAGGCAGUCAGAGUUCAAGGGCCAGAAUAAACCUAAUGAACCUUGACCUGAUUUUUUGGCUUCAUUCCCCACUGGCUGAAACUGACUGGAAGUCAUAGAAGCCCACAAAUACAGUCCAAACAGGGCAGCCUCCUGGGCACAGAGCAGGGUGCAGGUGGGCACAUCUAGAGAGCUAGGUGGUGAUAUUCACCCUGUCCACUGAUGGGGAACUGUCCCUUUUAAAAUGUUCAGCCUCCAUGAACUAUGUGACACUGUGCCAGGAUGGUAUGGUUGGACACACUGAAUCUGAAUCCUAAUCUGCCAAGUUGUGGAGUCUUAGACAAGCCACCUCACCUCCCCGAGUCUUAGUUUCCUCAGCUGUGAAGUGGGAAUGAUAAAAAUAUACCUACUUAAAAGGAUUACUGUAGGAAUUAAGUGAGCUCGUCUAUGUAAUAACUUCUUAGAGCCUUGCCUGGCACAGACGUGCCAAGUGAGGGUCAGCCGUGAUGAUGAUGGCAGCCUCGACGACAAGGCUUCUUAAUCCUCUUGUUACUGCUUUCUCUCUCCCUGUAUUAGUAUCACAAGCAUUACGAUGCUGCUGCUUCAAAAAGUACUUUUAUAGCACAAACGCUUCCAUUGUUCAUUUACACAAUUUUCCCAUGCACUAGUAAACUUUAUGUUUCAGGAUUAGCUUGUCACGUUCCUAAAAAAUCACGUUUGAAUCUUGAUAGGGCCAGAGAUUACAUUUAUCAAUGCAUUUGUUCCAAAUGGACAUUUUUACAAUAUCGAGUCUCACCAUUCUUGAGCAGAGUGUAUCUUUUCAUUUAUUCAGUCUUUGUUUAUGUCCUUCAGUAAAGUUUUACAAUUGUCUUCAUAAAGAUCUUGCACAUUCUUUGAGUUUUAUACCCACUUGAGUGUUUAUGUUGUUUUUUUCUAUUAGAUUCUUAAAUUGGCUAUUUUGGAGGUGGAGGAAAGCUGUUGAAUUUUGUGUUGACCUUGUAGGUAGUCCACUUGCCAAAAUUUCUUAUUUUUGUGUUGAUUGCCUCUAGAUGAACGUUGUUUAAGAUUUAUGAUAAUCUUAGCUUUCCCUUUCCAAUACUUGUACAUUUUUUUCUUACUGCAAUUUCCAAAGUAGACAUUGGGAUGUGGGAUUUUAGCAGGUAGAACAAAGCUCCUUCUUUUACUCUUCCUUUAAUGGAUGCUUCUAAUAUUUUACCAUUAUGUGUAAACUUUUCCCUAAAUCCCUGGUAUGUACCCUUUAUCUGCAUUUGCUGAUAAACAUUUUUGUUAGCUGUUGGAGUUGGAUAUCAUAAAAAGACAUUGCAGCCUCUCUUCGAUAAUCCUAGGAUUUUUUUUUCUCCUUUAAUACACUAAUGCAGUAAAUGUAUUUUUUCCUUUUUGUGAAGAACUUUCUGCAGCGUAUUUAUAUGCCCUGGGCAAACCCCACAUGGCCACAACAGCUUGCUUUACUUUUAUACUUUAUGAUAAUACUUCACUUUUAAAUGCUACAUUUAUAUUCACAAACGCCGUUUUCAUCUGGGUUUCCGUUCUCAUAUUUAUUGUGUUUAUGAAUUCAGUUAUGUUGGCCUCUUAAAGUAUGUUCGCUUGCUACCUUUUUCUUUGUCCUAAGACAUUUUAUAUAACAUGAGCAUUACUUAUUCCUUGAAAUUUAGAAAACUUUUCCAAAAACCACCUGAGGUUUGUGUGUUAUCAUUAUUCAGAGUUAAAUCAUUACUUAUCAUUUUAGUUUGUUCUGUGAUUAUUUGGUCUGUUCAUGCUUUCUUUUUAUUAAGUUUUAGUGUAUUCUAAUAUUGUAUUCAUUCUGCCUAGAUUUCAAAAUCAAAGUUAUAUAGGGAAAAAUUAAAAAAAACUCCUUUGGAGUUCCCAAUGUGGCUCAGAAGAAACAAAGCUGACUACUAUCCAUGAGGAUGCAGGUUCGACCCUGGCCUUGCUCAGUGGGUUGCGAAUCUGGCAUUGCCCUGAGCAGUAGUGUGGGUCACAGUCGCGGCUCGGAUCCUGUGUUACUUUGGCUGUGGUGUAGGCUGGCGGCUACAGCUCCGGUUAGAUCACUAGCUCAGGAACCUCCAUGUGCCAUGGGUGCAGCCCUAAAAAAAGACAAAAAACAAACAAAAAAACAAAAACCCAAAAACCUCCUUUAAACCUGAAGUCGUAUUUCCUUUUCCAUUUCUAGUGUGGUUUAUUCUGAUGUUCUCUCUUUUUUUUCAUAAUUAGAUCUGCUGAAACUGCCAGUUUUGUUGAUCAUUCCAAAGAAGCUCGGUUUCAAAUGUCCUGGUAUUUUCAUUUUCUUUUGUAAUGAAUUUCUUCUUUUAUCUUCAGUAAUUCUCCUUCUCUCUUUGGAUUUGUGAGUUUUCCCCCUCAUUUUCGGAGUUAAAAUCUCACUGCAGUCUCUUGUGUUUUCUAAAUAAAUGCAUUUCAUGCUACGAUUUUCUUCUAACCCUGCUGUGGCUGUUUCCCAGACUUUACAAGCUCUAAUUGUUCAUAUGUAUAAAGAAAAUGAAAAUUUUUCUUUUUUUGUCUUUACUCAAAAGGCAUUUACAAGUAAGGUUCUAAAUUUCAGUAGAUGCAUAGACAAAGAGAAUUUUUGUAAUGGUGUUUUAUCUCAUUACAUUGAUUUUAAAAGGUUUGUGAUUUUUUUGUUGAAUGUGUGAAUAUAUUCUUUUGUACUGCUAUUUAUUUGGUUGGUAAUUUUUGUGGACACUCCACAUGUAUUUGAUAAGAGUAUACAUAGUUCUCUGCCUCUCAUAACCCUCUUAUUCUCAAUUGAUUUCUUCUUGUUUUUAGCUUAUUAAAACUGUUGUAUUAAGUGCAUAAAAGUUACAUUUGCUUUACAGAUGUUGUGUUAGCUGUCUUUUCAUGGUCUAGAACAGGGUUUAGAGAUUUUUGUCUUGUAAAGGGUCCGGUCAUAAAUGUUCUAGGCUUUGCAGCCAGAUGGUUUCUGGCACAGUUGCUUAACUCUGUUCUUGUGGUAUGAAAGUGGUCUUACAUGAUAUGUCAAUGAGAGUGUGGCCGUGUUCCAAUGAAAAUGUGCGAAAACGUGGCAGGCCAACAUUGGCCCGCUGGUCUCAGUUGGCUCGCUCCUGGUCUAGUGUAAGGAUUAUGAGCUCUGCAACGUAGCAGUUAUCUGCCUGUAAUAUCAUCUGCUAUCUGUUAACCUUUUUGAUAGUAAUCUUUAGAAAAUUCAGC
rnacentral:lncRNA from 1 species